GCUGGAUUUGGCCUACAGUACUAUUCCUUCUACACUUCUGGAAUUGCCUUGAAGAAGAAGAUCUGUGUCUCCAAUCUAAUAAAACCCACUGACUUACCCUGCAAUCUUUACUGAUUGCCCUGUUGCUGUGAGGUUGUGUUUCCCAAAACAGGCAGAGAUGUUGCAAUACACCAUGAUGAAACAUCUGGAAAUUGAAAAGCAACUACUGCAGGAAUCCUGAGUUGAACUCCUUGCAUGCUUACUGCACUCUGCCUUUGGCUGGCUUACUCAGGCUUUCCCUUGUAAACUCUGGAGUGAAUCAUUUAAUCUGCUGGACCGGAGUUAGAGAAACCCUGGAGCAGCUCAUUCAUUCACUGGCGAGGCUGCUCUUCUGCUCUGCAGUGGCUGGGACAGCCUAUGCUUGCUCCUUGACUCAAAAGAAAAUGGAGGCAGUUGUCCUACAAGGGAAAGAAGCUUUGCUCUGCAGAGCUGAGGACAAACUGCACUGAGGCUCCAACCUGCCACGGCAGGAAACGGACAAUUGGGAAACCCAUGGCAUGACUGCUGCUGAGCUUAGGAUUGCUCAAAAAAUGCAUUCCACUUGUAUAGUAGAGCCAACAAAGCCAUGGGGUUAAGGAACAGGUAGGCUCCCUUUUCUCUAAAGCCAAGGUGCUGGUGAUGGAUCCAUAUAAAAAAAGCUAUGGAAAAACUGUUGCCUCACAUUACUUUAAUCCUCCAUAGUUAGUGCACAGUAACUUGAGUUUUGGGGUGGUUUAAACCAUCUAGAACAUCACCUUAUGGUGGCUUUACAGGACAAACAGGAUUAUUUUCUACUAGUGCAUUCACUUGCGGCUGGAAGCUUUCUGAAACUUUCUGAACAUAUUGUUUCUGUCUUGAAAAUACAUUUUUUUUUCCACAAAUAAAACUUUUGGAAAAAAAAAAAAGAA
rnacentral:lncRNA from 1 species